GAACCUUACCUGGGCUCGAAGCGCAGUGGACCGGGGUAGAAAUAUCCCUUUCCGCAAGGACUGCUGCGGAGGUGCUGCAUGGCUGUCGUCAGCUCGUGUCGUGAGAUGUUGGGUUAAGUCCCGCAACGAGCGCAACCCUUACUUCCAGUUGCCACCAUUUAGUUGGGCACUCUGGCAGAACCGCCUCGGAUAACGGGGAGGAAGGUGGGGAUGACGUCAAGUCCUCAUGGCCUUUAUGUCCAGGGCUACACACGUGCUACAAUGGCCGGUACAAACCGUCGCAAACCCGUGAGGGGGAGCUAAUCGGAAAAAGCCGGCCUCAGUUCGGAUUGCAGUCUGCAACUCGACUGCAUGAAGCUGGAAUCGCUAGUAAUCGCGGAUCAGAACGCCGCGGUGAAUACGUUCCCGGGCCUUGUCACACCGA
rnacentral:rRNA from 1 species